AAUAUAUAUACAAUGUUGAAUAGCUCAAAUAGCUCACUCCAGACACCCACCUUUCAAUAAAUAUGUACAGAAAUAAAAAAAAGGUUCAUGUUUUGAAUUUAUUAUAUUAUUUUUUUAUGAAUUAAUUCCUCUACUGAGCACUUAAAUUGUUUUUAAUUGUUUUGAGCACAACUCCACAGUUGAAUGUGUUGGUGCCAUUUAAAAUGCACGGGAAAACUACCACAUAUAAGCACUGUGGAGUUUUUCCUCUCAUUGCAGCUUGUAGGGUGGAAGAGAAAAACCAACCGAAGUCGCGUCUCUGGGUAUUCCUUCCUCUAUGGUUUUGAUUGAAAAUUCAAAGUUCAAGUCAAAAUAACAAAAACACUCGCGAAUUUCUUGGAGUCUAUAGAAUGGAAGAUAAAAUUAUUUGGGAGCACAAAUAUAUCCUACUUAUGUUGGAAAAGAGGCUGGAAACAGAAAAAGAAUUUGCCGAAGAAAAAAAAAGAAGAGCAUUUUGUUCUGAGAAGCAUUAAAACCUUUGACGAAAGUUUUCCUUUUACGCGGAGGAUAUAAAAACAAAAUUUUACAACCUUCUUACAACCUAUAAGGGUCAGUUGUACAAACGUGGUUCAUCCUCGGAUCAACGUUUGAACUCGGUUCAACUCAUUUGCAGUGUUGUACAAUCGAGGUUCAGGUCUUAACCCACUGCUGAACCUCGAUCAGAAGUUACCCACCGAUUUUGGGGGGUUAGCUGUGGUUCAGCCAUGGAUCAGGUGAUUUUUAGUGCGAAAAAUGUUGCUUUCUCACUUUAAUCUGAUAUUGUUUGACAGUUCAGAUGAAAGGUUGUUUAAAUUAAAGAAAUAAAUUUCUUGUAAUUAUGUCAAAAUUGUCGAUAGAGAAAAUAAAAUUAUUUAUCUUUUAUAGACAUUAUUUUUUUAUUUAACAAAUAUACGUUGUCUUAUUUCUAUAUAGUGUUUGAUGAUACCUACAACGAUAGUUUGUAUACAUGUGUACUUUUUUUUUUAAUUUCAUUGAUGAUAUUUCAUGCCUCGUAAACACAACAGAAAAUUAUCCCACCUGUUUCUCGGGUGGACAAACAGCUCCACUACUGCGCACCAAAAUUUCAACGCCACUUCAGCAUGCAACAGAAAACACAAACAUAAACCGGAAAAGAAAAAAUCUGCAAGAAAACUUAUCAAAUUGGGCAGGAGGUAAAGAUGCUUUGAACGAGUUACAGGAAAAGUUCCUUGGUGAGGAACAUGAGCUCUGCCGAAAGAUUAAAAUUGAGGAGCAUAACUCAAAAAUAAAGAUGGAAGAGCGGUUGAGUGAACUAAAGAGAAGAGGCUAAACUAAAAACAGAAUGCCUUAAAGAGGGGUGCCAAUGGUGCAGUGGAUGCAGUGCUUGACUGCAAACCUUGAGGCAUGGGAUCGACCCCCGAUUUAGACAGCAUUCUUUAGUUUCUUCCACAGCUUUGAUAUAAAGUUCUUGAAAAUAAAGUAUUUAUUUUU